rnacentral:rRNA from 1 species
CGAUGCGUAGCCGACCUGAGAGGGCGAUCGGCCACACUGGAACUGAGACACGGUCCAGACUCCUACGGGAGGCAGCAGUAGGGAAUCUUCCGCAAUGGGCGAAAGCCUGACGGAGCAACGCCGCGUGAGUGAUGAAGGUCUUCGGAUCGUAAAACUCUGUUAUUAGGGAAGAACAAAUGUGUAAGUAACUAUGCACGUCUUGACGGUACCUAAUCAGAAAGCCACGGCUAACUACGUGCCAGCAGCCGCGGUAAUACGUAGGUGGCAAGCGUUAUCCGGAAUUAUUGGGCGUAAAGCGCGCGUAGGCGGUUUUUUAAGUCUGAUGUGAAAGCCCACGGCUCAACCGUGGAGGGUCAUUGGAAACUGGAAAACUUGAGUGCAGAAGAGGAAAGUGGAAUUCCAUGUGUAGCGGUGAAAUGCGCAGAGAUAUGGAGGAACACCAGUGGCGA